UGGGGUGGGGAUGUAGGUAGGCAGAUUGGACCCUGGACGUGUGAGGCCCUGGAGAGAGGAGGAGAAGAGCAGGAGGAACAGAAGUGAAGACUGCAGGAAGAAGAUCAACCACUGGAUCAGGUUGAGCAGAGCCGCAUCCAGCUUGGAUCCAAUGCCCCCAGGACCUGACAGCCUGAGAAGUCCCUGCUCAGCUUUCCUGAAGCCCCCCUCAGAGACUGGAGUCACCACAGGAGGUGGUCAGAUAGAUGUGAGACACAGGAAGAUCCCAAUGGGCUCAAGCUGUCUUCAUUUCUGCAUCUCCCAGGAGCUUCGCCAUGAGGUGAUCCCAGAAGCAGCACUUGGAAACACAGGACACAUCCCAUGCACAUCAGCUUGGAGGAUGAGUUAGGUCCCCAGCAUCUGGGCCAGCAGCGGUGUGGGCAGCAGGAGCAGGGACAAGACUGCCAUGUGCUUAGCAUUGGCUGAGUACAGGACCUGCCUGGCAAACACUCAAGAGUCCUCCCAUUCCCAGUGGGAGACUGAUCUGAGGAGGCAGAUCAUGGGCACCACACGCUGGGAGAAGCUGCUGGCAGUGUUCUACUCUGAGUGAAUCACUUCAAGACAUUAAAGAGAGUCCAGGCUGGGGAUUA